GCACUUUGUGCACCAGAGAAGCUA
rnacentral:snRNA from 1 species